rfam:Gorilla gorilla gorilla genomic chromosome, chr2B, whole genome shotgun sequence
GGAUGUGAGGGCGAUCUGACUGUGACAUCUGUCACCCCGUUGUUCACCAGGGUUGAUUUGGCUGAUCUGACUGGCUAGGCGGGUAUCCCCUUCCUCCCUCACCACUCCAUGUGUGUCUGUCGCAAACCUGUGUGCUCAGUCAAAGAGGAUGACCAUCCCCAAUAGAGGAGGACUGGUCUUCAGUCAAGGGUAUACGAGUAGCUGCACUCCCCUGCUAGAAACUCUAAAGAAGCUCUCAAAAAAAAAAAAAAAAAAAAAAAAGGGAUGACAUAGUAUCACUGUUUGCUCAUGUGCUCUUCCAGUUUAGGCUGAAUCUCAUCAUGAGGAAAUAGC